rnacentral:rRNA from 1 species
UGAGGAAUAUUGGUCAAUGGGCGAGAGCCUGAACCAGCCAAGUCGCGUGAGGGAAGACGGUCCUACGGAUUGUAAACCUCUUUUGUCGGGGAGCAAUAAGGCGUACGAGUACGCAGAUGCGAGUACCCGAAGAAAAGCAUCGGCUAACUCCGUGCCGGCAGCCGCGGUAAUACGGAGGAUGCGAGCGUUAUCCGGAUUUAUUGGGUUUAAAGGGUGCGCAGGCGGAAAGUGCAAGUCAGCGGUCAAACGACGGGGCUCAAACCCCGUCCUCGCCGUUGCAAAAUCUGUCAUUUCUUAGAGUGAGCGAGAAGUAUGCGGAAUGCGUGGUGUAGCGGUGAAAUGCAUAGAUAUCACGCAGAACUCCGAUUGCGAAGGCAGCAUACCGGCGCUCAACUGACGCUCAUGCACGAAAAGCGUGGGUAUCGAACAGGAUUAGAUACC